UGCUAAGUUAAUUUAUCAUAAUGGCUUACAUUCCACCACAUAAGCGACACUGGAAGGACCUACAGAGGCCAUCUCCAGCUCCACAGAUGCUUGUGCCUAAAUUCAACAGAAGCUUAAACUUGGGAUUGCCCAAGCUUAAUGAAGACGGGAGUGGAAAUCUUGUGCAUGCAGAGCAUGCCGUAUUCAGGUGGUUUGCUGUUGGCUUGGAUGGUGAUAGCGGCUUUCCUUCUUCUUUCCAAUCUGAGCCGUCCUCAGUGGAGCCUGUUGAGCAUAAAAGAGGAGUAAAGCCGUUAGUUUUAGUGAACAAUAAUCUGGCUGAAGGUUAGUGUUCUACCUUUUUUGUUUUAUCUUAAUGUGUUCUACUUUCGUUCUUGAUUUAUGUCUGGUGUUAACUUUAGUUAUGUGGACAUUUGGCUUUCUGGUUGGCAGACGAUGAUGAAGUGGGGGGAAAUAUAUCAAGAAGCUCAGGGAAACCGGUACCAGAAAAUGUAUGGCCAGAUGUAUUGAGUGCUUGUAAGAUUGUCAAGAACGAAUAGGAGAAAAAGCCAACAUUAGUUGCUGGAUUUGGCAAAGUUCAUUUCCAUCGAUAUGUGAUCUGGUUUCCAUUGCUGCUAUAGCGUGAAUGUUUUGUGUUAAAUCAUUCCUCUCCUUUCUUUCGACUUUGAACUUAAAGCAACAAAAAUGCAUAUUCAUACUAAAAUCUGACAGAAAUCUUAUGUUAGUAUUACUUGAUUUCUGGUGUGAGAAACAAAUCAAUCUCUUGCCGCCAUGAGUCCGUGACCAAGUUUUAUCGUUUGAAUUUUCAUUGGGACAACACAUUAUAUCAUUGCUUGACCUUAUUUCUUGCUGUAAAAAUGAUUCCAUUCUUCUAUCACAUCUUUGAAGCCUCCAUUAGUUUUUGUAUUACAAGUGCCUCAAAGAAGUAAUUAUAUCAUUCAUCUCGAUGCAGGAACAAUUUACUGCACUUAGGAAGUGAAAAAGAAUGUCAGGUUGCUGAAGAAACCACUUUGAGGCAAACGAAGUGAUCCUUUUACACAAAUGUCCCUGCUAUAUACAUGGAAAACAUUAUAAAUGAAGUUGUGCCAAAAAAUUGGAGUUUAUUUUGAAGAGUACAAGGAUAUAUACCACGUCAAGGUAGUUCUUCUACUAAGAACUUCAGUAUUAAUUAUCAAGUUUCUUUCAUAUCUCACUUAAUUAACCAUCGAUACACCAACCCCGCCGCCCCGCGUGUAGUUGCCCGACAACAGGUGACAAAGCUCAACUAUUUCAUGCAAAUCUACUGUUAAAGAAAAUAAAACAUUUGAGCUCUAUAAGGCAAGUUUUCUGCUCUUGGCUAACUAUUAUUUAUGGACAAUGGAUCGAAUAUUGUGUUUGUUGCCUGUAUUUUAAAGGAGAUUUUUGCUACUUCAAAUUGCAACAGGCCUUUUGCUGUUUUGAAUUAAAUAGAUGAGGGUUUGAAUAUAAUGUUUUCAAUGUGAAUCAAGAAGGAUCUAUUCAAAAUAAAAGUGAUAAAGAUUAAGAAAGAACUUAAGGUUAUGUUUGGGAGGUAGGAUUAAGUAUAGGAUUGGAUUAAUUUAGAACUCAUUAUUUAUCUUAUGUUUGGCAAGCUCCACUUUGGAUUAGAUCAUGGGACUAAAUUUGAAUUUAGUCCUAAGAUCAUGGGAUUAGCAAUCCCAAUUAAAACAUGGGUUUGGUUAGGAUUAACUUAAAAACAAUUGUCUAUUUAAUUAAUUAUUACUUGAAUAUCUAAUGAAUAUUUAAUUUAAUAAUCACUAUAUUAAAUUAAUCAUGAAAAUUAAUAAUACUAGUAAUUGGUUGCUUUUAUAUAAUUUGCUAACUUUUUGGUAAAAUAAAAUAUAUUUAAAAUAUUUAAUAAAAAUUAAAUCAAAUGUUUAAAUAAUUUUUAAUUUAAUUUAACGUAAUCUAAUUUAUAUUUGUUUAUUAUAAUUAUGAUUACCCAAUAACUAAUUUUCUGCAUAUUUAAUCUUAAUUAAUUGUCCUUUAAAUUAAUAUUAAUAAUGAUUUUAUUAUUAAAUAUUCACAAAUAGUUCAUAUUUAUAUUUAAAUAUCAAAUUAAAUGCUAUUUAAUUUCAUUAAAAAAUAACUUAAUAUAGUCCAAUCUAAUAUUGUACCAAACAUAAGACAAUAUUAUAUAAUUCAAUUUAAUCCAAUUAAAUCCAAUCCAGUCCAAUCAUGCGUGCCAAACGUAACCUAAGAAGCUAAGAGCUUUUAGAAGACUUUGAAGAAAUAAUAUCAAUUUGAAAGGAAAAGAAUUUAAAAUGAAGAAGAAAAAGAUAAUUCACAAGAAGUAAGACUAACUCUACAUCUGAUUGAGGAACAGGCUUGUUACUUCAACUAUUAUAACCAAUUGAAUUAAGUUAACAGUUAACAAUUUUGUGCAGAUACCCAAUUUUACAGUCUUGUAAAAUGGUUUAUAAUGCUGUAAAGUGCCUUUGAUGUCCACCUGAGCAUGAUUAAUUUAAUAUAAUUUUAUUUGCUUUUAACUAAUUUACUAUGUAUAUAUGUAUGUUGUUUGUUUUGCAGAACGUACUCGUUGCUGGAACAGACACGAGUGCAGCAACUGUGGUUUGGGCCAUUACUUACCUAAUGCAGAAUCCUAGAGCAAUGAAAAAAGUUCAACUGGAAAUCAGAUCGUUGAUUGGGGGUAACAAAGGCUUUGUAAAUGAAGAUGAUGUUCAAGAACUACAUUAUCUUAUGGCGGUAGUGAAGGAGACAAUGAGAUUGCAACCCACAGUGCCAUUACUAAUCCCAAGAGAAACAAUUCAAAAGUGCGUAAUAGAUGGGUAUGAAAUACCAGCUAAAACACUUGUCUUUGUAAAUGCAUGGGCGAUAGGAAGAGACCCUGAAGCUUGGGAGAAUCCGGAGGAAUUUUAUCCGGAGAGAUUCGUUGAUAGCUGUAUUGACUUUAAAGGGCAACACUUUGAAUUAAUACCGUUUGGUGCUGGCAGAAGAAUUUGUCCUGGGUUGAAUAUGGGAAUCGCAACUGUGGAUCUCGCAUUUGCUAAUCUUCUUUAUAAAUUUGAUUGGGAAAUGCCGCCUGGAAUGAAGAGCCAAGACUUGGACUUUGAUGUUCUGCCGGGAAUUACUAUGCAUAAGAAGAAUGCUCUCGCUCUUUUGGCUAAGUAUCAUGAGUAGGUAAAUUAAGGCACCUCGGACCAACAAAGUGUUGGCUCCACUGGCAAUGGAGUCCCCUUAAGUGGCUUGACUGGGUUUGCUCGUGCAUCUCAUGUUUCCUUUCUUUCUUCUUAUGUAUAAUGAAUGUUGAUGUCUAAGUGCCCAUAGGCUGAGUGGUUUUUAAUAAUUAAAUUUCUUUUAGUUCAAAAUUUUGGGAGGUAAGGACUAGAGAAUAAUGGUUACUCAGCUCACUUUCCUAUACUAAAAAAAAAAAAGGUUGAUAUGAAUGUGAAUAUUAAUCUACUACGAUCAUUUCAUCUCAUAUUUUUUCUCCUAUAUUUUUUUCUUUAAAUUUAACUUCUAUCACUUAACCUGCUAUCUUUUUAUAUGAUUGGAUAGAGAUUGAAAUUUUUGCUGUUCCACCUCGAUGUUAAUGCUAAUAUUAUCUUCACACCUUUACUGUAAUUUUCUACUUCUACUAUUAGAUGCUGAAGUAAUAAUAGAGUUAAUGCUAAUAUUAUCUUCACACCUUUACUGUAAUUUUCUACUUCUACCUCGAUGUUAAAGUUUUGAUAAUAAAGACUGGUCCAACAGACCCAAUAAAGCCAUAAAAAUGACCUUUUUUUUUUCUUUUCUUUUCUUUAAACAAAAUUGGUCGAAGACCUAGCAAGUCUUUAUUCUGCAUUUUGAUUGGUAUUGAGAGGCCAUUAUUCUAGAUAAGCUGGGGAAUAAGUUGGGCUCUUAAUAGAAAUUUGUUAAAAGUCUCUUGGUGGUCACACAGCGCACAGCAUGCGGCUUUUCUAAAGCGGAUGGUGUUUUUAAAAGUCUUCAUUCGGAGCGGGUGAGAUUUGGAAUGACUCACGAGAAAUUCCACAACUCAAAAAGAGAUUCGAAAAAGUAGUUUGUUUUUUUCUCUUUAUUUUUCUUUUCCAAGUUGAUAUCAUUGAGAAAUUUCAAACUCAACAUACAAUAUGUAGAAUAUAUUUUGUAAUAGAGAAAUAAUAGAGUCGCAAAUUAUUAAUGUAAAACAACGUUGAUUGAAUAAAAACACAAAAUAAUACAAAAAAAAAAUGAAGCAUAUGAAUUUUUAUUUAACCAAUAUCAUCGCUUUUAAAUGAUGACUGAAUUUUACCUAUUGCGUAUCUUGGACUAAAUUUAAUUUCAAAAAAUGAGCUUCCAGCUUAUUACUUAUACGUAUCUUGCACUUUGGUUUUACGAUCACCAUUGGAUGGAAGAGUGGCUUGAGUUUGUUAAUUGCUUCAGUCCCAGGACUAGUGUUUGGAAACAUAAAAUUUAUCAGUUCAGCAGCUAUAAAUCUGUUUCAUGAUUGUUAUUGCACACUAUUUCCUAUAUCUUUGUCUCCAUGCUCGUACUGAAUUAGUGGCGCAUUUGUCAUCUUUCGCCUUUCAUUAAAAUGUGCUUAUUAUUUUUUAUUUCAAUCGUAGGAUGGGAAGAUUGAUACUGAUUCCAUCUACAAUGGGUUUAAAGACAACGUGAGGUUAAUGUGGGAGCGUUUCUUGUCAUGCCAGCAACUGUUGACAUAAACAACAGACUGCAAGCUUCACCUACUCUCUGUUCAUAUUUGCAUUUGUGUGCAUCUUGUACUUGUUGUUGCAGAAAGAUGAAUAUGUAAGAAUAAGAUCGUGUUUGUAUGCAAUGGUCAAAUGUUUUUGCAAAAAAUGUCGUUGCUUGAGUUCCUCAAUUCUCAUUCUGAACUUCAAAAUUUGUACAUUUCUUUAACUUAAUUUUUUUUUUCUGUGUAAUAGUAGUUUAAGUUUGGUAGUUUCUGUGUAAAGUGUUUUAUAUUUUCAUGUGUGGAAUAAAUAUCAAUGGCCAACAACAAUAAGAGUUUGAUUUUAUUUGUAAGACAUGUCUUUCAAAAUUAAGCUAGUGACAUACUUGGAUCACUUGGGAUCCACUUGCAAAUGUAUUUUGAAGAAAAGUUUUCUCCCCGCCUUUUAUGUAAUCACACCCACCAGUAAAAUGGUAAUUUAUUGAAAGGUCCUUGAUGCCCGGUUAAAGUUAUAAUUAAAUUAAUAAACGUAUCUUUUUAAAUUAAUAAACUCAUCUUUUUGAAUAUGUUCAUCGUUUUGUACGUAUAUUAGUAUUUUUUUUAAAUUCCUUCUAUUUCUAUCCUAUUGGUUAGAAGCAAAUAUUUCACUGUAAUCUCCUGUCGACCAAAAGGAGAUGCCUUUCCCAAAGCAAGAAAAGAAAACACAAAAAGCCCACUUCAAAAACUUGUGCAAGAAGGAGAUGUGAUUACGCUGUCUUUCUGUUUCUUGGUGCGUGUAUAGAUAUAUACAUACACACAUAAGUCUGAGGAUCAGCUGAGCCAACAGCCCACUAGGAAGCAAUUUUAAAAUUUUUGGUAAGUAUUGUUCUUUAUAUCUUAUGAAUUUUUCCUUCAAUUAUCAUAUUUUCACUCAGUUUUGUUUUUGGGCACUCGUUAUGUGAUUUUCUUUUGAUGAUUUCGGUGGCUUCUUUUUAGCUCUUAUUUUACUGUUUCCACUGGUUAGUUUAGCUGCUGUCUACUGAGAUAAAAUUAUUUGCUUGAAUAACUUAGUCUUUUGCUAUUUUAUUACGUUCAGUUUAUAUACAGUUGAUUCAUUGUAACAAAUGUUAUCAUAAAUGAUUCUUGAGUAAUUUCAUUUAUUUACUUUUUCUUCUUUCAUAGUUGGCCUGUACGGUAUCAUUUACUUUUAUCUUUUUUCAAAUUUCUUUUAAUCUAGAGAAUGUUAUCAUAAAUGUUUGUUUUACUUUUUCAAAUUUCUAAGUAUUUUUGUUGCUUGUUUAUCGGGCAAUACUGCAACAGUGAUUUCAACUCACAAAAUUCUGUAAAUAGUUAUUAUUCUUAGUGUGGUUUUAAGGUAGAGUGAAGUUCAUAUUAUCAUAAUGGCUUACAUUCCUCCACAUAUGAGGCAUACGAAGGACCCCCAGAGGCCAUCUCCAGUUCCAGAGAUGAUUGUGCCUAAAUCCAACAGAAAAUUAAACUUGGGAUCAUCCAAGCAUAAUGCAGACAUGAGUGGAAAGAUCGUGUAUGCAGACCCUGCCAUACACAGAUGGUUCAUUUGUGGCUUGGAUAAUGAUAGCAGCACUCCUUCUGUCCGCUUUGUGGAGUUUUCAGACGACCCUGUUGAGCAUAAAAAAUCGACGACCAUUAAUCUGGCUCGAGGUUACUGAUCUGCAUUUGUAAUUUUAUCUUAAAUAUGUCCUACUUUCUUUAUUUAUAUGCGGUGCUAACUUUAGUUAUAUUGACAUUUGGAUUUUGGUUUGGUAGAUAACGAUAAAUUAUGUGGGAAUACAUCAAGAAGCCCAUGGGAAUCGAUAGCAGAAAAUGUAUGGCCAGAUGUCUUGAGUGCUUGUAAUAUUGUCAAGAACGAAAUGGAGGAAAAGCCAACAAUGGUUGCUAGAUUUGGCCAUCAUCUUUUCCGUGAGUAUGUGAUCUGGUUCCAUUGCUGUAACAGCUUGAAUUUUUUAUUAGGUCAUUCCUUUUCUUUGGACUUCGAAAUUAAAGCAGCAAAAAUGCAUAUUCAUACUAAAUUCUGACAGAAAUCUUAUGGUCAUAUAAGUGCUGGCAGCUAAAAUUAUGAGCUUUACCAUUAACCCUACCACCAGCUGUGGAUGACUGUAAAUCGGAUCUCCAAGCCGGGGACAAAAGUUAAAAUUGCUUUUAAAAGCCAAAGAGGAAAAGAUUUGUAGAAAGAAGGAAAAAGAAAAUGGCAAUUUAUAGUGCAUGCACUUCUUUCAGACUUGUAUCUCAUAGAAGCUUUCAUGGCAUCUAGAAUUUGGCUUUGGCUUUGCGUAGGACAUUUCAAUUGUUGCUGGUGGAAACAAAUAUAUCCAUUGUCUUAGUAUUGCUUGAUUUCCGGUGCAAGAAACAAAUAAAUCUAUUGCCGUACGUGGCCAAGUUUUGUUGUUUGAUAUUUCAUUGGGACAACAAAGUAUACCAUUGCUUCGCCUAUAUCUUACAUCUUUGUAUCAUAUAUUUCCAUUCUUCUAUCGCAUCUUUGAAGCUUCUACUAGUUUUCAUAUUAGAAGUGCCUCAAAGAAAUAAUUAUUAUAUUAUUUGUCUUAAUGAAGGAGUGACAUACUGAGCUUAGAAAAUGCAAAAGAAGGUCAGGUUGCUGAAUCUGCUUUGAGCCCACUGAGGAGAUGCUUUUACACUGGUGUCCCUCCUACAUACAUGGGAAAAAUUGUAAAUGAAGUUGUGCCAAAAAUUGGGGUUGGUUUUGUAGAGAACAAGGAUAUAUACCAUGUCAAGGUAGUUCUCCUGCAGUCCUGCUAAAUACUUUAGUAGUCAUCACCAAGUUUCUUUUAUCUCUCACUUAAUUAGCCAUUGAUUCCCCCCCUUCUUUUUCUUGUGUAGUUGUCUGAUGGCACACGACAAAUUACGUGCAAAUGUACUGUUAAAGAAGAUCAAAAGCUUCAUCUCUAUAAGGCAAGUCUUUUGCUACUGGCUGAGUAUUAUUUAUGGACAAUGGGUCCUAGAUUAUAAGUUUCCUCUUGUGUUAAGGAGACUUUUGCUAGUGGAAACAUUGGAAACAAGACUUAUGAUGUUUUGAAUUGAAUAAUAUAAUCUUUUCACUGUGAAUUAUGAAGGAGCUGUCGAAAUAUAAGCGAUAGAUAUCAAGAAAGAGACGAAACCUUUGUGUCUCACAAGAGCCUUUUAGAAGUCUCUCCAGGAAUUAGGGAUGGCAAUGGGGAGGGGAGGGGAGGGGAGGGGACCAACAUCCCUACACCCAUUUCUGAUAUUCUGCAUAUAUCCCCGUCCCCAUUAGAAUUGCUUGAGAGAAUCCCCGUUCCCUCCCCGAAUAAUAAGAGGGGAUCCUCGAGGGGUCCCCGAUCCCCUAAUAACUAAUACGUUUUUAAAUUUAAAUUCUGAACUUGAUUUAAUUAUAUAAAAAUAAAAAUUUAAACAAAAAUAAGGUUUGACAAUAUAUCUUACACUAAAAUUAAUCUAUUACAAAAAUCACACUACAACUUACAAACCAUCAGAAUAAUUAUUUUCGUCAAUCUUCAUAAUCCUAUAACAAAAAAAAUAUGUUUUUAUCAAUAAUGAAAUAAAUGAAAUGAAAUAUAGAUACUGAAAUUAAUAUUUUUAAUAAAAGUAUUAACUCUUACACCUCAUGCUCCUCCUGUUCUUCCUCGAGUAAUGUGACAAAUUGAGAGAUAAUUACAAAUUUAAAAUCUAAAACAAUAAAAAUAAUAUAAACAAUAAGAAAAUUAUCAGUCAUAUACCCUUAAAUGACAUCCGUAUCAAACGUGUGUGAACACUUUUUAAGUGUAUCACUCAUAUACCCUAAGUUGACAAAACACUUCUGCCGUCCACCAAUCUGUUAACUUCCGUUAGAAAGUUAAUAGAAUUGUGGCAAAUUGACUAUUUUGCUCUUGAAACUCAAAAUGAGGUAAAAAUAUAAAUUUACCCCAAAAAUUAACGUAAAUUUUCAAUACACAAUUUUUUUAUUUUGUUAUUAACAAUACAUUUUUUUAUUAAAAAAGAAUUAUUAAUGGUACAUAUUAUUAACAUUUAUCCAUAAAAAAAUAUUCAUAUUAUACCAUAAAAAAUUAUUAACAACAUAUUAUUUACAAUUAUAUAUAUUAUACCAUAAAAAUUUCCAGUUGGAGCUUGGAGGAGUAGAUCUUCAAAAAUUUAGGUUAAAUUUUGGAGGAGUAGAUUCGGUUGUAAAGUAGUUUUUUUUAGCAAUUAUUAAUUAUCCGAUAAAAUGGGAUGACAUGUCAUUUUUAUCAAUAUAUAUCAUAUGACAUGUCAUUGUUUACUAGGUAAAUGGGAUGACAUGUCGUUUGUUUAAUCAAAGUUUCGUCAAUGUUAAAAGACUAAAUUACCCUUAUGAUGUCAACUCUUGCAAACGGAAGUUAACGGAUUGGUGAACGGCAGAAGUGCUUUGUCAACUUAGGGUAUACGAGUGAUACACUUAAAAGGUGUUCACACAUGUUUGAUACGAGUGUCAUUUAAGGGUAUAUUACUGAUAAUUUCCCUAAACAAUAUGACUCAUAAUCUAAAACAGUAUUGGCCCAAGGUCUUUAAAAUAAGGUCUGGUCAAAUAGUAAUUCAAGACUACAACUAGUUAAGUAGGCUCGAAAUUUUUAUAGUUGAUCUGUAUAAAUAUUUUGAUAUUUGUUAUUUAUACUAAUAUUUAAUAUAAUUUAAAUUUCAUUAUUCAUUUAUUAAUAAUUCUAAAAAAUAAAAUCAAAAUUAAAAAUUAAUACGAGGAAAUGGGUAGGGGAUGGGGAUUCCACCUCAUCCCCGUCCCUUCCUCGAAUAAGAAACUAGGUAAAAAAUUGUCUCCGUCCCUUCCCCGAAUAAGAAAUUGGGUAUAAAAUUGUUCUCAUACCCUCUCCGAAUAUGAAAAAUCCCUAAGGGUGCUCGUCCCCGUGGGGAUUUUUGCCAUCCCUACCAGGAAUAAUCUCAGUUAAGAGGAAAAGAAUUUAAAAUGAAAAGAAGGAAGAAAAUUCUCAAGAAGUAAGACUAAUUCUACAUCAAAUUGAGGAACAGGCUUGUUAAUUUAACAAGGAAAGCUCCAGUAGCUAUUUAUUAUAAACCAAUUAAAAAUUGAAUUAAUUUAAUAGUUAACUUGUAAUUAAAUGUCUAAUCCAACAAACUAUGCAUAAGAUUACAGAUGUAACUAUGUAAUACAAAAAACCUCUGCUUAUUGUAGACCAAAGUGAAUAUGCCAAUAUUUAGGAAUUUCUUUCAGCAUCAUGGGAUUUAGAUCCCUAUAAUCUUUUUUUAUUUUAGUGUAGUGACAUCCGGAAGACCAGAAUUAUCACGUACCUCGUAGUAGUCAUUUUAUGUCUUUUAAAGCGCCACAUUAUUUCCCAUACAGUCAUAAUAUAUCUAUUUGUUGUUUAUUUAUUGUUGUCGUGUGUGGAGUCUCAUCUUGAAUAUGAACAUUUUUCCGGUAGGUCGAGCUGGACUCUGUUCGUCACAUGGUAGCAGACAUGUUAUGCGUUCAUAAAAAUCUAGACCUGAGGUUGGCACUAUGUUCAAAGAGUACCUUUUCUGCUCUCUCGGUGAGUCAAUCUGCUACUCUGUGCAUGUUUAGCUGGACUUUUAAGUUACACCUUCUUUUUUCCCCUUUUUAUUUUUUUUGGUCAUUUGCUUGUUGGAAUUAUCAUCAUUACAGAAUGAGGAAGAAAAAUUCAAGACCAGGGGAAAUAAGGAAAUAUUAAACUUAUAGCUUUUGUUUUAUCAUAGAAAGUUUACUUUCAAGGGGUUGAGAAAAAAUUUAUAUACACACACACACACACACACAAGCUUAAAACGGUUAAACAUUAGCAUGCAUGAUCCUUUUCUUCAAAACUGAAACUUUACAAAUGUUAAAAAUAGAAUAACAAAUAAAUUAUUAGAUUUCCAAAAUCAGUUACCCGUUAUGUAGGCUUAAAACAAAAGUUAAAUAUAAGCUCUUUUUUUUUUUGGGAGGGGGGGGGGGGGGGGGGGUGUGUGCCUAUGAGUAGUCCCAGCAACUCGAAUUCUAUGAUCAAACUGAAAUUUUUGAGUUUUCAGGAUGAUGAAAUGAACAGCAUUAGAAUUCUGAUUAAUUCAGCCAUUCCGGAUCCCGAAGUCAAGGGUGGGUAAAGAUGGCCCAUGGGGAAGUCAUAUUCAGGGGAUUACACAAUUGUUGGGGUUUGGCACAAUGAAUUUAAAUCAUAUAAAAGCCCAUCACUAAAGCUUAAGGUAAGAAAUGUUGAUCGAUUUAUUUUCAAGACUGGAACUGGGGAAGCUACGAUUGAGAUUAAUCUAAAGUUGAGAAGACUAGUUUCAGAGAUUCAGGUACUUGCUGCUUUUUGCUUUAACUUUUAUCACAUAACCUACUAUCUUUGUGUAUGAUUACAUGGAUCUUGAAAUUCUUGCUGUUAUGUCAUAAUGUUAAUGCAUAUUUUGUCUUCACGCAUUUCUUACUGAACUUGUGUCUUGAGCUGUAAUUAUAAUUUCCAAUUUUUACUAUUAGAUGGGUAUUUUAUUGGAGAUUUCUUUACUUAAAAAAAAAAAAAUGUUUGACAGAGAAUAUUUUAACGAUGAGAUUGCAAUAUUGUAAUAGAUAAUCUUCAGGAACUCUUUUUACCUUUUAGUAGUUAUGCAGUUGCUCCUCUGUGUUAGCUUAUUUAUUCUAUCAUAUGUAACGAAUGACUUUUUACCAAAUUUGAUUUCAAAGCUGAGCUUCCAGCUUAUGACUUAUAUUUGUGUCUUGCACUUUUGUUUUACAAUCACCAUUAGAUGGAAGAGUGCUUAGAGUUAGUUAAUUGAUUCAAUCCCAGGAUUAGUCUUUUGAAACAUAAAAUUUAUCGGCUAAGCUAUAUAAAUCUGUUUCAUGUUUCUUAUCGCACACUAUUUCGUAUGGCUUUGUCUCCAUGCUCAUACAAAAUUAGUGUUGUAUUAGAUGUCUUCUGUCUUUCAUUCACAUGUACUUAUUACUUUUUCUUUCAAUCGUCAGGAUGGGGAGAUUGAUACUGAUUCCAUCUACAAUGGGUUUAACGACAACUUGAGGUUAAUAUGGGACCAUUUCUUGUCAUGGGAGUCAUAACUUUUGACAAAAACAACAGAUUGCAUGCUCUCCCCGCUCGGUUCAUAUUUGCGUUUGUGUGCAUCCUGCAGUUGAAGAUGUAGAAUGAUGUAAAUGCAAGAAAAAGAGCAUGUUCGUAUCCAAUGGUAAAAUGUUUUUGCUAAAAUGUAUGGACUUGUAACAGUUUGUUGCGUGAGUUUCUCAAUCUCCUAAACCUCAAAUUUUGUCCUAUUUUCACCCCGGCUUUUUCCCCCCGUCCUCUGUAAUAGUUAUAUUUGGUAUAAUUAAGUUUGGCAGUUCCUUUGUAAAGUGUUUUAUAUUCAUGUGUGGAAUAAAUAUCAACAUCCAGAUACAAGAAAGUUUGAUUUUAUUUGUAAGACCUGUCUCUCAAAAUUAAUCUAGUGACAUGCUUGAAGCACUUGGGAUCCACUAGUUGGAUGUAUUUUUGUUAAGAUUUAUUUAGCAUUUUGUAUGUGUAUCAGUGCGUUUUUUUGUUUUUAAACCGUUGGUUAGAGGGCAAACAUUUCACAUUAAAGUGGGGUCUGCUUGCCACCAAAGGAGAUGCCUUUCCCAAAGCAAGAAACGAAAACUCAAAAGCCCACUUCAUAACUUGUGCAAGAAGGAGAUGUAAUUGACAUAUGCUGUCCUUUUUCUUGGUGUGUGUAUGUGUAUACACACACUUAAUUCCGAAGAUCAACUGAGCGAACAGCCAAAACUUGAAAGCAAUUUUAAAAUUUUCGGUUAGUAUUGUACUUUAUAUCUUAUGAAUUUCUCUUUAAUUUAUUAUAUUUUCACUUUAGUUUUGUUUCUGGGUACUCCUUAUGUGCUUUUCUUCGAUGAUUUUGGUGAGCUCAUAUUUUACUAUUUCCACUGGUUAGUUUAGCUAUUGUCUACUAAGAUAAAAUUAUUUGCUUCAAUAACAUAGAGUAUUGAGGUACUAUAAUUUAAAAAUUUAGAAAAAAAUAUACUUAUAAAAUAAAAGUUAAUAGUAUGUGGUAAAUAUAAUUUUAAAAUAAUAAUUUUAAUAAAAUUAGUAAAGAUAUAAUAGAUUUUCAUCAUAUAAAAAUAAAAUAAAAUCAACUUAAUUUCUAAACUACAUAAAAUAAUGUUUAUAAAACACUUUAGUGUUGUAACUACCAAACCUCAAUCUAAAGUAUGGCCUUAAUCGUUUGCUAUUUUAUUAUGUGAUUGUAUAUAGAGUUAAUUAAUUGUAUCAAAUGUCAUCAUAAAUGAUGCAUGAGUAAUUUCAUAUUGUUUUUUCUUUUCUUCAUUGAUAAUUGGCCUGUCGGAUAUCUUUGAACUUUUUUUUUUCGCCUCAAAGUUCUUUUAGUCUGCAAAAUGUUGACUUUAGUUUCGAUCUUGGUUAUUGCAAUAUUUCAUUCGUUCUUUCUAAGCAUAGUGGUUUCAUUUCAUAAAAUUCUGUAAUAAGUACUUAGUGUAGUUUAAGGUUGCGCGAAGUAAUAUUAUCGUAAUGUCUUACAUUCCACCACAUAAGCAGCAUUCUAUAAUCAAGACUGCAGAGAAUCUCGCAGAUAUGUUGACUAAGGUGGUGACGACGAUUAAGUUUGAGCAUUGUCUAAACUUGAUUAAUAUCUUACAAGUUUGAAAAUAGUCAGGGAAGACAAUGACUGGAGGAUGGUUUGUUGAUAGUCGGCUCAGAUUUACUAAAUUUUCGCCAAGGUAGAGAAUUGUUGAAAAGUCAAGCAUGCUUGCAUGAGCCAGCUAGCAUGCAAAUUUCAAGCACACCAAUGUUCAGCUAGCUUGAUCCAAUUGCAUGUGCUAGCAUGAUCUCUUCAUCAAAAGUCACACCAAAGCCAUUAAAAUUGAAAAUGGCCAAAUUUUUUUUUUCAUGCAUUCAUAUUGUAAGCUUUGCAUAUAAAUAGAGGAGUAGAAUGCAUUUGUAAAGCAUCCCAAUUUGUGAUAAGCAGAGAGCAAUUGCAAGUGAGCUCUUUGAGAGAAUUUGAGAGAGCUUCCACUUUAGUGUUCUAGUGAGGUUCCAUUUAGGUGUAUUGGGGUUGUGGGUUUUGUGAGUUUUUCCUACUUUUAUAAAUUCUCAUUACUAGUAAAAUUAUCUUCCAGUCUUUGCCCGUGGAUGUAGGCAUUACGCCGAACCACGUAAAUUAUUAUGUUCUAUUUUUUUUGUAUUUGUUUGUCACAUUUAUAUUUCUCCAAAAGUUACAUUCAUCGUAAUAUUGGUAAUUGCUCAACUUCGCACUUCCGCAACAAUUGGUAUAAGAGCAGAAGGUUCGUGCUUGGGGCAUACGACAUUGUUCACGUAUACGAAACUGUUCACGGAUACGGUAUUGUUCACGUAUACGGUACUGUUCAUUGAUACGGUGGAGAUGACCAUUUAUACUUGGGAGACAGUCUAUUGUAAGUAGUGUGUAUUUUUGCAUGUCUAGGAAAGUUCUGUCAACAAGGCGAUAAAAGACUAAGGAGUCUGGGUUUUAAGUGGGACCGUUGUGACCCCUCCAUUCUCCUAGGAACUUUCCUAGUGCAUUUAUUCAUGCGAAAUAAAUAUCAUAGAUGUUGUUUUUCAAGUGUAAAUAGUUGUUGAAGAAACUGAUCAUUUGAUAUAAAAAGGAUGGCAAAGGCAUUGUCGUCGUCUUCAUCAACAAGGACUACUGUGACUAAUGCAAAGUUUGAAGUGGAGAAAUUCGAUGGUACCAAUAAUUUUGGUAUGUGGCAAUGUGAGGUGUUGGGUUUCUUAUGUCAGCAAGAGUUGGACGUUACUCUUGAAGAAAAGUCUGACAUGAUGGAGGAAAAAGAGUGGAUAAAGAUCAAUAGACAGGCAUGUGGUACUAUUCGACUAUGUUUGGCUAAAGAUAAAAAAUAUUCUGUCAUGAGGGAGACAUCGACAAAGAAAUUGUGGGAGACAUUGGAAGAAAAAUAUAUAAAGAAAAGCCUUGAAAAUAUGCUUUAUAUAAAGAAGAAACUCUAUCGAUUCACAUAUACACCUGGCAUGUCAAUGAAUGACCAUGUGAGUUCAUUCAACGAAAUAUUGGCAGAUUUGCUAAAUUUGGAUGAGAAAUUUGAAGAUGAAGAUAAGGCACUGUUGUUUUUGAAUUCCCUUCCUGGUGAAUAUGAUCAUCUCACCAACAAUUUGCUUCAUGGGAAGGACAUUGUCACAUUCGAUGUUGUAUGUAGUGCAUUGUAUAACUCUGAGAUUAGAAAGAAAGACAGAAAAGAUAACAGAGAUACAGUUGUGGAAGCAUUGACAACUAGAGGUCGUUCAAAAGGCCGUAAACCUAGAAAAAGAAGCAAGUCUAAAGGGAGACCUACCAAAGAUGAGUGUGCUUUUUGUCGCGAGAAAGGGUAUUGGAAAAAGAAUUGUCCUAAGUUACAAAAGGGCAAGGCUUCUUCUGAUGCAUGUGUAGUAGAGCAUGAUGAGGAGUCAGACUUUAGUCUGGUUGGCAUGACGUUGACAUGUUACUCAGAUGAGUGGUUUUUAUAUUUGGGUUGUACUUAUCAUAUGUGUCUUAACAAUGGCUGAUUUUCUAGCUUUAAGGAGCUGGACGGUAGAGUUGUUUUUAUGGGCAAUGACAAUGUCUGUAAAACCUUAGAAUAGGUACAAUCCAAUUAAAAAAUCGUGACGGUUCAAUCAAAGUCUUGACGGAUAUUCGUACGUACCAAGUUUGAAAAAAAAUCUUAUCUUAUUAGGAGUCCUAGAAUCUAAAGGGCUCACAAUCACUCUGAGAGAUAGAUUAUUGAAGGUAGUAGAUGGCGCACUAACGGUGAUAAAAGGCACAAGAAGAAAUAACUUGUACUAUUUUCAAGGGAAUACAGUUAUUGGAUCAGCAUCAACAAUUUCUGGAAGAGAUGCAGAUUCAGAAGCAACCAAGUUGUGGCAUAUGUGUUUGGGACAUGUUGUGCAAAUUUUAUUGAACUCGCAAGUGCACGAAUCUAUUGUAGAAUAGACUAAUGGUGACGAGUGUCGAUCCCACGAGGAGGUGGAUUUUAAUUGUGUGUAGAAUUAAUUUUGUAAAUGGGUGGUUGGAUUUGUGGUGAAAAUGAUUUGGAUUAUCCUAAAAUUGGAAUUGAAAUGGCGAGAAUAAAUUGAAGAGAAAUCUAUUGAGAUGACGUACUUGGGUAUCUGGAUCCGUAUCAACAUGCAUCAUGGGCUAAAUAAUCCUUAUUAAUGCCAAUUAAAUCAUGAGGGGGGAAUCCACAUCUCAUGAACCACGCUCUAAUCAAUAUGGUGCUAAGGGCUUAUCGUGCCAAAUAAUAAUAACCUUGUACUAGGGAGCCGGUGAAACCAAUACGGUACUAGACAAAAUUAGUAUUAUUUGUCGACGAGAAGUCAAAACAUUCACAAAAAUUAGAGGGGAAGAGAAAGUAAAUUUACCAAAUAAAGCCCAUGACACAUGUUGAGACUUCACCUUCAACCCAAGCUUGAAAGAAAAUUAGCCACUCAUAAUUGAACUAGGGGCAAAAUAGGAAUUUAUUAAAAUACGUAGAAAAUACAAGAUGGAGAAGGAAUUACAGAAAAUGGAUCCCAAAAAUGGAUUCAGAGAUAUCAAAUUAGGGGGGGAGGCCCCCUUUUUAUAGAUACAUCGAGUAAAUCAUGGCCAUCGGAUUAAAAACAGUUCGGACGUUCAAGAUUGCGCCACGUCAUCCGUCAACAGUACGCGUGAAUAGUACGCGGUUUGACCACGUGGAUGAACAGUAACACGAUUUGACCCGGGUGAACAGUGACACGGUUUGGUUGAAAAUAAUCCUGUGUGUUGCAUGUACCGUACGUGAGAUUUUUGGUCCACUGAUAUGCUGCCACGUCAUCGAUCAACAGUGCAUAAGAAUUUUAGUCCAACAGGAUCGUGACACCUCAUCAGUCAAUGCCACAUCAUCGGUCAAUGCCACGUCAUCGAUCCGUCUAUGUGAACAGUGUCGUGAACAGUAACGUAGACAGUACUGUACAUGUGAAUAGUACCGUACAUGUGAACAAUACCAUUUUUCCUUUUAUGCUCCUCCUAAGGUUUUCGACCGUCUUGAGUUCAAAAGUGAUGUCCGUUUUGCCGUCUGAUCUCUCAUUUAUUGUGAAAUGACUAUGACGCCCCUAAAAUACAUAAAAUACUUAAUUAAAAUAAAACACACAAUUAAAUUCCCAGAAGCUUAAACACAUAAAAGUAAGGGUUGUUAAUAAGACGUGAAAUGUAAAAUGACAAUUUUCUCCUUUAUAAAUAUGUAUUUUCUAACACUCAACACACCCCCCAACCAGCUUAUUGCUAGUCCCUAGCAAAUAAAACGAAAACAAGAUUCAAAUCCAAUUUUUUUUUUUUUAAACACUCGUGUUUAUUCAAUCAGACUAAUGAUAACAAUCAAAUAAAAGUAUAAGCAUUAUCUCCAGUCUAAAGAAACAUCACACCCACAUCAACCAUCCACAUGAAUCAGCCUAGUAGACUUUGUCAUAGUUACCUUCAAGAAUGACAUGUCAAACCCCAAAAUCUCACUGGAAGUAGUGACACUCUCACAAAGAAAUUAAACCCAAUAAAAAUAGUCACUCCAAUGAAUGGUAAUUGAGAGAAAAUAAUAAAGAAGUGAUAUCACAUGCUCUCACCAAGAUGAAAUAAAUAUGCCCUCAGCUUAGAAAUAAUACGAUCUCAAGUCAAAUAAAAAUGCUAGUCAACCCAAUUUAUUUAUUUUUAUUUAUUAUUUUUUAAUGCACCACUACAUCUUUUUAGCCCAUAUAAUUAGCUUUUACUUCAGAUUAUAGUUCCCUAAAAUCAAGAAGGAUUUUUAUUAGGACGUAACGUAGGCUAGGGACAUGGCUAACAAAGAAGGGAAAUAAGGAAAACAAAGUGUAUGUUUGAGAAAAAUACAAAGGAUUUUUUUUUUUUUUUUGGAAGUUGCAAGGUGGAUUUCACCAAUUAUUGUUAUUUUUUUAUUCUUUUUUUUUAAACAACAAUUUCUUUUUCUUUUUUUUUUUGCUUUUGUUGGGCAUAACUUCACUAUACAAAAUAUUUAUUUACAUUUUUCUCAAACAUAAAUAGGUAAUGGAACUUGUAAGAUGUUGGGUAAUACUCUAAAUCGGAGUGGGUCAAGAUGAUAAGUUUGACAAAGAAAAGUUUUUUUUUUUUUUAAAGGCUCAAAAGGGUUAACUAUGGAUAUUUGAUAAAAGGGAUGGCUAGAAAGGCUCAAACGGAUCAAAGAUGGCCUUUCCAUCGUCUUUUAGGGCUCUGAAUAAUCUUCCAUAUUUACUAGUUAGAUGGGCCUCCAUAUGUAGCAACACACAUUUUUUUUUUAAUUUUACAAUUUUUUUUAAGGGUUAACUCAAAAGAAAUCUAGAGAUCGUGUAUACAAUAAUAAACUGCUAAGUUGUAUAAAGAAUGGGCAAAAGGGUUACUCUCCAAGAAAAAUGAUAGGCUCAAAAACUCACUUGGUACUUAUUAUGACAUGUUCAUUCCUUCAAGCAACUCAUAUUUGUCUCCGACAUCAACAUGUAGAGUAGCAAACGUAGCGUAACAUCACUUCAGACUAAAGAUAAUACAAAUACUAAAAUUUAAAAUUCAUCAUGUCAUCCAACGUUAAAACAAAUCAAAUUUUUUUUUUUUUUCAACAUCCUAUCCCCCAACCUAUUCUAAACAUGAAAGGAAAAUAUACAUGCAGAAAAACUAAUUAGAAAAUGAUAGAAAACGAAAAUAUUUUUUUUUUUAAUUUAAGAAGAUGCGUUUCUAGAGGCACUACACUCCAUAUUCAGCCAUCUUCGACUCAAAAAAAAAUUUGAAAAUGUAUAUUUAUAAAGGAGAAAUUAAAAAGAAGAAGAAAAAUGAACAUCAAAACAUAAUAGAGAAAAAGAAAAUGUUUGAAUUGUUUUUUUUGUUUUUUUUUUCAAACGAUGAAGAUGCGUUUCUAGAGUCACUACACUCCAUAUUCAGCCAUCUUCAACAUAAAAAGUUAGCAACAAUUAGUUUCUACAACAAAAAAUUAGUAAAAACUUAACCAAGAUUCCACAAUUGUUGACUAUUCCCUCCCCCCAACCAGAACGAAACAUUGUCCUCAAUGUUUUAAAGGAAAGAAGUAGCGUUUAGAAGACAUCACCUGGGUGGUGCAACACAAAAGAAAAUAUUUACAGGCGGAGAGUUAAAUCUAAUUUGUACUUCUUACUGCGGCUACUGUUACCAUCAUUAUUUGAACGCUCAAACACAAAGGUCCAGGGGUCUAGCUCCGGUCUAUAAGCUUGUAACAGAUCAAGUAGCUCAUUAGCAGUGUUAGCACAAAUAAAAAGUUUUUUCGCAUUGGAAGGAAUGAAGUAGUUUUUUAUUGCAUGGUUAAGAAAUGCGAUGAAGCCAUCAUAAAAAUUAUUGACAUUUAACAAACCGAUGGGUUUAUGGUGAAUGUGCAGAUGGGCCCAAGAUGCUAGUGUGAUAAGUGCCUCUAGUGUUGCAAGAUCUCCUGAAAGGAAAAUAAAAACAUCAACAUGAUUAAGCAUUUCAGUUAUUCGUUCUUGCAUACCUGAGACGACUAACUCUUCUCCAGUCGAUGAGUCAGAAAAACUGCCCAAGGUUUUAAGACUCUUGGGAUGAUGCCUAACACUUGGCUUCCUCUGAUAAAAGCAGCUUCUGAGACCAAUUUUGAUAACCCUCGGUUACCUCCUCCAUACACCAAGUGUAAUUUUCUCUCUACUAUGGUUCGACCAAGAUCUAUGGCUGCAUCAACGAACUCUUUAUGUUUGCUAUAGGUAAAUCCAGAAAGCACACAAAUGUUCUUGAAUUGUCUAUUAGGAGUAGCUGCCAUUGGAAUAUUUCUCAAAAAUAAUUUGUGAGUGCUUAACAAAAAGUCAUAUUUAAGAAUCUUGGUGACAGUGGAUCACAACUGUGUAUGAGGUGGCAUGUCAGUGUCAAAUAACGCGUAAAGCACAUGGCUCGAUAGUCAAAAAGCAAAAAGGGAAAAACAAACUGUAAUAAAAUUAUUAAAGACAAUAAUGCAAACAAUAAAACAACAGUGAAAUGAAAUAAAAUAACAGUAAAGUAAAAGGAUAUUUACAGGUAGUUGCGACUGUGGCUCACAUCUUCCUCUGGUUUUACGUCCAGAAACGGCUUGAACGCCCUCUAUGGGUCGAGGAUAGGCUUCCCAUCCAGUUUUCUUAUAAACUGGCAAACAGGGUAGUUUAUAGUCAGAUUCCCAAGACUAUAUCGUGCAUGCUCUUUCUGGAAUAAUGGCCAUAACUGGAGAAUCGCUCCUUGCAUAUAUCCACUGGGAUGCGUUUCAAGAGACAGAAGGAUAUCAUCCGAUGACUCCUUAUUCAAGCCAUCCCUAAUGAAUUGAAUCUUAUCUUCCCUGUUAUCAGAUACCAUUCCUAAAGAACAUGGGUUUUUAUCGCAUCUCAUUCUGGCACACUUAUGACAAGCAACAGAAAUUCUUCGAGCUCGUCGUUUUCUUGCAUAAUUUCCUUUACCAAAACCAGACAUGUAUGCAAUAAAUUUUGGAGGUAACUCACCUGACAAUCGUACUUUAGCCUCGAUUAACCAACGGAUGUCAACAUGUAUGUUAUUCCUCAUGAGCAAUCGCAUGCGUUCGGACCGGGCUUUAUAGAUUGUAAGGAGGGCAUUCUGAGGAAGUGAAGGGAAUCGCUUGUGAAGCUUCGCUAGAAUCUCGUUUCUGUCCAUACCUUCGCCUCAGAAUAUCAGUUAUUAUGGGAAAACUGAAGUAACCGACUUGAUUGUCACGGAGUACCGUUAUCCGCCACUUCACCGGGGUAACACACUAAAGCACACAAACAUAAAAAUAAAUUAAAACACACAAAGAAAAUUAAAAUCGUCCUCUUAUUGAAUUUACCUCAAGCUCCAACUGGAUGUCGUAAACACUUCUCUCAAUGUCUCUGAGUUGGCUUUCUAAACCCUCAACAUAGGAUACUAACUCUGGUGGUUGCAGAGCCCAAAUAUGAUGUGUUUUACAAAAUUGAAUCUGCCUUUUGAGAUGAGUUUUGACACGUUGAAGUGGUUUAAGAAUGUUCAGGAGGAACGAUCUAAGUAUAGUACUCAUGAUUAACAAUGAUAAGAGAAAAGGUAAUAGUUAAAAAAACACACUUAUGCAAAAUAAUUUCAAUUAGCAAAAGAAUAAUAUAAAGAAAGAAAAACAAAUCAAAUCACCGAAAAGAAAAAAAAAUCAAUUCAAAUAUGGUGGGUCACUCAAAUUUAUUUCGGUGUCUUCUCCAUGUGGUUGGUACUCUAGAUAUGGCUUUAAUCUUUGACUAUUAACUUUAAAUGUGACACCGUUCUUUGGGUCCUUAAUUUCAAUUGCCCCAUGUGGAAAAACAGUAUGAACAAUAAAUGAACCAGACCAUCGAGAGCGUAACUUACCUGGGAAUAUGUGCAAGCGAGAAUUGAACAAAAGCACUUUCUGACCUGGAGUGAAAGAUUUUCUCAUAAUUUGCUUAUCGUGAAAGACUUUCAUUCGUUGCUUGUAAAUCUUGGCAUUUUCGUAUGCAUCAUUGCGAAUUUCUUCAAGUUCUGCCAGUUGUAAUCUUCUUUCUGAGCUGGCUUGCUGCAUGUCAAAAUUGAAUUUCUUGAUGGCCCAAUAUGCACGAUGCUCGAGUUCCACAAGUAGAUGGCAAGCUUUUCCAUACACUAGCCUGUAGGGUGACAUCCCAAUCGGGGUCUUGAAAGCCGUUCUAUAUGCCCAUAAUGCAUCAUCAAGUCUUAAUAACUAAUCUUUUCUGUCUGGCCUUAUCGUCUUUUCUAGUAUGUGUUUUAUUUCUCGAUUGGAGAUCUCAACUUGGCCACUGGUUUACGGAUGAUAUGGGGUCGCCACUUUGUGAUUGAUUGAAUACUUUGUCAAAAGAGCUUUGAAUGCUUUAUUACAAAAGUGGGCACCACCAUCACUGAUUAUCGCUCGAGGGAAUCCAAAGCGCGAAACAAUGUUGCUUUUCAAAAAUCCUAUCACCACCUUGUGAUCAUUGGUUCUGCAUGGAAUUGCUUCUACCCAUUUCGAUACGUAGUCAACAGCAACCAAUAUGUAUUGAUGGCCAAAAGAAGGGGGAAAAGGUCCCAUGAAGACGAUACCUCAUACAUCAAAAAUCUCAACCACUAAAAUUGGAUUUAAUGGCAUCAUGUUCCUUCGUGUAAUGCUCCCCAUUCGUUGACACCUAUCACAUGAAGAACAAAAGGUGUAAGCGUCUCGAAAUAUAGUUGGCCAAUAGAAACCACAUUGUAAAACUUUAGUAGCUCUUUUCUUAGCACUGAAAUGGCCUCCACAAGCUUGUUCAUGGCAGAAUGAAAUGAUAUUUUGAAUUUCACUUUCUGGGACACAUCGUCUAACAAUUUGGUCUGCACAAUACUUGAACAAAUACGGGUCAUCCAAAAAAAAAUUCUUUAUUUCUGCAAAGAAUUUAGCCUUAUCUUGCUUGGUCCAAUGCUCUGGAAGUUGACCUGUAACAAGAUAAUUAACUAUAUCAGCAUACCAAGGUAAUACUUCCACACUCAUUAAUUGUUCAUCUGGAAAUGACUCAUUCAAUGUUAAUGGCUCUAUAAUUGUGUCAAAAUGGAGACGGGAGAGAUGGUCAGCUAUAACAUUCUCUGUGCCUUUCUUAUCUUUAAAUUCCAAGUCGAAUUCCUGCAAAAGUAACACCCAACGAAUUAGUCUAGUUUUUGCAUCUUUCUUUGUGAGAAGAUAUUUAAGAGCAGCAUGAUCUGUGAAUAUAAUUAUUUUACAACCAAUGAGAUAAGAUCGAAAUUUCUCUAAUGCAAACACUACUGCUAGCAUUUCCUUUUCAGUAGUUGAAUAGUUCAACUGUGCAUCAUUCAAUGUCAUACUACCAUAGUAAAUAACAUGGGAAAUUCGAUCAACUCUUUGUCCUAAAACUGCUCCUACUGCAUAAUCAGAUGCAUCACACAUGAGCUCAAAUGGUAAGCUCCAAUUUGGGGGCUGAAUGAUGGGUGAUGAUGUCAACAAUUGCUUUAAUUUUUCAAAAGCCACAAGACAUGAAUCAUUAAAGAUAAAAGGUACAUCCUUAGCAAGUAGAUUGCAUAAGGGUCUAGAAACUUUGCUAAAAUCUUUAAUGAAACGUCUAUAAAAACCAGCAUGCCCAAGGAAAGAUCUUACUUCUCUGACUGUUUUGGGUGGAGGAAGAUUAGAAAUGAGAUCCACCUUGGCUUUGUCAACCUCAAUACCUUUGCUCGAAAUGAUGUGACCGAGAACAAUACCUUAUUUUACCAUAAAAUGGCACUUCUCCCAAUUUAAGACUAAGUUCUUUUCGAUACAUCUCUGCAGAACUAGUGUUAGAUGAUGUAAACAUUGAUCAAACGAGUCACCAAAGACAGAAAAAUCAUCCAUAAAGACUUCAAGGAAUCGUUCAACCAUAUCAGAAAAAAUGCUCAACAUGCAUUGUUGAAAUGUAGCAGGUGCAUUACAUAAUCCAAAUGGCAUUCUCCUAUAUGCAAAUGUGCCAAAAGGGCAAGUGAAAGUAGUUUUCUCUUGAUCUUUUGGUGCUAUGGGAAUCUGAUUAUAUCCUGAGUAGCCAUCUAGAAAGUAAUAAAAUUCAUGGCCUGCCAAUCUAUCAAGCAUUUGAUUGAUAAAUGGUAAAGGAAAAUGGUCUUUACGUGUGACAGAAUUCAACUUUCUAUAAUCAAUGCAUACACGCCAUCCUGUAGUCACUCUAGUGGGUAUCAAUUCAUUAUCGGCAUUGGUAACUACUGUGACUCUUGACUUUUUAGGGACAACUUGUACAUGACUGACCCAUGAACUAUUAGAAAUUAGGUAAAUGAUACCUGCGUCUAAUAGCUUAAGGACUUCAGUUCUAACAACUUCUUUCAUGUUAGGAUUUAACCGACGUUGCAUUUCCUUAGUAGAUUUAGCAUUUUCAUCAAGGUGAAUGUAAUGCUUGCAGUCUACUGCGUUUAUACCUUUGAUGUCUACUAUAGUCCAUCUUAAUGCUCCUUUGUGCUCUUUUAAAACAUCCAACAACUUAGCUUUUUGUUCGUCAUUGAGGGAUGAUGAGAUGAUUACCGGCAGAUAACUUUCUUCUCCCAAAAAUGCAUAUUCCAGAGUGUUGGGCAAUGGUUUGAACUCGAGUUUCGGUGGUGAUUCUGAUGAUGGGAUGAGUUUAUUUUCUGAUGGUGCUAGUUGUUCAACUCUUGACUUCCAUUUAUUAGUGUCCAUGGAUGAUGCUGAGUUAAGUAGAGCGUUGACCUCAUCGACUGAUCUAUCAAUAUCAAAAUCCAAACCAAAAUGAGUUAAACAUGUUUGUAAAGGAUCAUCACUAAGAUUUGAAACAAAAGUAUCAUCAACUAAUGCUUCAAUUAAAUCCAUAUCAACAAUUCCAUCAUCUGCAUUGUGAGGUUGUUUGGCAAUGUUGAAGAUGUUUAGCUCCAUAGUCAUGUUGCCGAAGGACAACUGCAUAUUUCCAGUCCUGCAUUGAAUGUGAGCAUCUGCAGUUGCUAAGAAAGGUGGGCCUAGAAUAAUGAGGAUGUGCUUCUUUGAAUCCUGUAUUGGUUGAGUGUCAAUUACAAUGAAAUCAACAGGAAAAUAAAACUUGUCUACCUGGAUAAGCACGUCCUCCACAAUACCACGAGGUAUUUUCGUGGACCGAUCUGCAAGCUGUAACAUCACUGGAGUUGGGUGUAAUUCUCUCAAUCCAAGUUUUACGAAAACUGAAUAAGGCAACAAAUUUACACUAACUCCUAAAUCCAACAAAGCAUUCUCAAUUGUGUGGUUCCCUAUACUACAUGAGAUAGUGGGGGAGCCUAGGUCUUUGCAUUUUAGAGGAAUUUUAUGUUAGAGGAUAGAACUAACGUUUUCUGUUAAAAAUGCCUUCUUUUGAACAUGAAUGUUUCUCUGUUUAGUACAAAGGUCUUUAAGAAACUUGGCAUAAGAUGGAACUUUCUUUAUAGCAUCAAGCAAAGGAAUGUUAACACUUACCUAUUUGAAGAUUUUAAGAAUCUCACUUGUGGAUUUCCCCUUUUUUCCUUUAGCUAACCUCUGAGGAAAUAGAGCUUUGGGAACAUAUUCUCGUGGGUUGGUUUCUUCUUUCUCCUCCGAUGAUGAGUCCUCAAUAUUCACAGGUACAAUUUGAUUCUCUUUUGUCACCGGCAUCUCCACUUUAUUGUCGACUUCUUUUCCUUUUCGCAAGGUCAUGGCAGCUUUGACCUCUCUAUGCUGUUGUGGUGAACUGGUACUUGCUUCAUGUACUCCUUUAGGAUUAGGCACUGGUUGACUUGGAAACUUGCUUUUCUCAAUAGUCAUUGCCAAGGUCUGAACUGAAGAAGCAAGUUGUCCCACCAUCUUCUCGAGGUUUGAAACUGAUUGGGCUUGUGAGUUGAAGCCCGCUCUCAACUCAUUUUGUAGUCCAUCAAUGGUGCGGUUCUGUUGCUCAAUCGUAGAGUGAGUAACAUUCUUCAAAUUCUGGAAUGCAUCCUCCCAUGGUCUGGGUUGAGAGUAUUUCUGGUUCUGAUUGUAUGGUCUAAAUGGUGGCUGAGAGGCUUGAGGAACUUGAGGAAUUUGUUGCAUUGGUGGAGCUGGAGCUGCUGGUCCAUUCUGUUGGAAUCAUUGAGACCAUGAAAAAUUGGGGUGGUCUCUCCAUCCAGGGUUAUAUGUGUUGGAGUAUGGGUUGUAAUUUAAUGGUUUUCUCAUUACACAUAUGGUAUUGGCUUGAUCUGAGUAUGAGUCAUGGUCAUGUGGUUCUGUUGAUUUAGCAGUCGAUAACGAUGCUAUUUGUCGAGCGAGACCUUCAACCAUAUCCUUGACUUCUUUGAUUCCUGAAGUUGACUCACCAAUGUGAACCUCAUUCACUCCUUUAAUUCUUCUAGUAUUCCUGAGUGACCGACUCCGUUGUUAGGAAUUAUCCGCUUGUCGCUAGAAGAAUUCCCAAAUUUCUGAUGCACUUUUUGACAUUAGGUCUCCUCCACUUGUUGCCAUUAGCCAUUCUUGCACAUUCGGCAAUAAUCCCUCUAAAAUGUAUUGGCAUUGGUGCCAUUUCUCGUACCCAUGAUGUGGACACUUCAAGAGUAGCCCAUUGAAUCGCUCCCAUGUUUCGAAAAACUGCUCGUCAUCUCUCUUUGUAAACUCUGAAAUCUCCCUGCGAAUAGCAUUGGUUUUAUGCACUGGGAAAUAUUUAUUCAAAAAUUUAGUUACCAUUUGUUCCCAUGAUGCAAUGCUAUUAGCAGGCAAUAUAUUAAGUCAUGAACGAGCUCUAUCCUUUAAAGAAAAUGGGAAUAGUCUAAGUUUUACAUCAUCAUCUGAAAAAUUCUCAUAUUUAAAUAUUAGACAAAUAGCAUGAAAAUCAUUCAAAUGAUUAUAUGGGUCCUCAUUUUCUAGGCCAUAGAAUGUUGGGAGACAAUUUAGCACGCUAGGUUUUAGUUCAAAACUCCUAGCAACUACAUUUGGGUAUCUUAUGCAUGAUGUGCUCAAAUUAGCUAAAGGACUGAAGUAGUCCUUAAUUGGCCUCUCAUGUGGUUGCAAAUCCAUUUUAUUUUUAACUUGUUUGUGUGUGCGAAGUGUUUUCUCAAGUUCAAGAUCUAUAGAUUCAAGACUAGGUAAUAACGACCUUCGACCAUGCAUGCAAAACAAAUAAAAUAAAAAUAAAGAUGAGAACAAAACAAAUAAAAAUAAAGAAGAUAGAGAAAUUACGAUACUAACCUUAUACGCUGUUAAAACCUUUUUAUAAAAAUACACAAAAACAAAUACGUGAAAUAAAUUAACUAAAAAUAAAUUAAUAAGAUAAAAAAAAAUUUACAAAGAUAAAUAAAUUGAAAAUUAAAUUGCAGAAUUUUAAAGAAGAGAAAAAGAAAAGAAAUACUAACCUUUAAAUGUAGAUUCAUUUUUUUUCUUUUUUUUUAAUAAAAAAAUACAAGAAAACAAUUUAAAAGAAAUGAUUCACAAAACUUAAUUCUAUGAAUUAAAAUUACUUACCUCCCCGGCAACGGCGCAAAAAACUUGUUGUGCAAAUUUUAUUGAACUCGCAAGUGCACGAAUCUAUUGUAGAAUAGACUAAUGGUGACGAGUGUCGAUCCCACGAGGAGGUGGAUUUUAAUUGUGUGUAGAAUUAAAUUUGUAAAUGGGUGGUUGGAUUUGUGGUGAAAAUGAUUUGGAUUAUCCUAAAAUUGGAAUUGAAAUGGCGAGAAUAAAUUGAAGAGAAAUAUAUUGAGAUGACGUACUUGGGUAUCUGGAUCCGUAUCAACAUGCAUCAUGGGCUAAAUAAUCCUUAUUAAUGCCAAUUAAAUCAUGAGGGGGGAAUCCACAUCUCAUGAACCACGCUCUAAUCAAUAUGGUGCUAAGGGCUUAUCGUGCCAAAUAAUAAUAACUUUGUACUAGGGAGCCGGUGAAACCAAUGCGGUACUAGACAAAAUUAGUAUUAUUUGUCGACGAGAAGUCAAAACAUUCACAAAAAUUAGAGGGGAAGAGAAAGUAAAUUUACCAAAUAAAGCCCAUGACACAUGUUGAGACUUCACCUUCAACCCAAGCUUGAAAGAAAAUUAGCCACUCAUAAUUGAACUAGGGGCAAAAUAGGAAUUUAUUAAAAUACGUAGAAAAUACAAGAUGGAGAAGGAAUUACAGAAAAUGGAUCCCAAAAAUGGAUUCAGAGAUAUCAAAUUAGGGAGGGGAGGCCCCCUUUUUAUAGAUACAUCGAGUAAAUCAUGGCCAUCGGAUUAAAAACAGUUUGGACGCUCAGGAUUGCGCCACGUCAUCAGUCAACAGUACGCGUAAAUAGUAUGCGGUUUGACCACGUGGAUGAACAGUAACACGGUUUGACCUGGGUGAACAGUAACGCGGUUUGGUUGAAAAUAAUCGUGUGUGUUGCAUGUACUGUACGUGAGAUUUUUGGUCCACUGAUAUGCUGCCACGUUAUCGAUCAACAGUGCAUAAGAAUUUUAGUCGAACAGGAUCGUGACACCUCAUCUGUCAAUGCCACAUCAUCGGUCAAUGCCACGUCAUCGAUCCGUCUAUGUGAACAGUGUCGUGAACAGUAACGUAGACAGUACUGUACAUGUGAAUAGUACUGUACAUGUGAACAAUGCCAUUUUUCCUUUUAUGCUCCUCCUAAGGUUUUCGACCGUCCUGAGUUCAAAAGUGAUGUCCGUUUUACCGUCUGAUCUCUCGUUUAUUAUGAAAUGACUAUGACGCCCCUAAAAUACAUAAAACACUUAAUUAAAAUAAAACACACAAUUAAAUUACAAGAAGCUUAAACACAUAAAAGUAAGGGUUGUUAGUAAGACGUGAAAUGUAAAAUGACGAUUUUCUCCUUUAUAAAUAUGCAUUUUCUAACACUCAACACAUGUUGGUGAAAAAUCUUUGCAAACUCUAGUGAAGCAAGGCUUAUUGAAAGGUGCAAAUUCAUGCAAAUUAGAAUUUCGUGAACAUUGUGUUUUGGGCAAGCAGACAAGGGUAAUGUUUGGUUCAACAAUUCACAAUACAAAAGGGAUUCUGGACUAUGUUCAUAAUGACGUGUGAGGUCCUACCAAAACAACUUCUUUAGGAGGUAUGCACUAUGUUAUUACUUUUGUUUAUGAUUAUUCAAGAAAAGUGUGGGUGUAUUUGAUAAAGAAUAAAAGUGAAGUUUUGGGCACAUUUCUGAAAUGGAAGAAGAUGGUCGAGACUCAGAUUGGUCGAAAGGUCAAAAGACUUUGCUCAGAUAAUGGUGGUGAGUACAAGAAUGAUCUAUUUCUACAAAUAUGCCAAGAUGAGGGCAUUGUUCGACACUUCACUGUUCGAGAUACACCACAGUAGAAUGGGGUGGCAAAACGCAUGAACCGGAUAAUAUUGGAGAAAGUUUGGUGUAUGUUGUCCAAUGCUGGAUUGGGCAAAGAGUUUUGGGUUGAGGCAGUUGUAUAUGCGUGCCAUUUAAUCAAUUGUGUGUCAUCAACUGCAAUUGAGGGUAAAACACCCAUAGAGAUGUGGACUUGUAAUCCUACUAGUGAUUAUGAUUCUUUACAUGUUUUUGGUUCCACUGCUUAUUAUCAUGUAAAGGAAUGCGUUAGACCUAAGAACAAAGAAAGCAUUGUUCAUGGGUAUAACUGAUGGAGUAAAAUGAUAUCGUCUUUGAUGUCCUGGUAAAAAAAAGAUUAUUUUCAGCAGAGAUGUAACUUUUGAUGAAUAAACCAUGUUGAAACAAAAAGAUUCUCAAGAGAAUGACAAGACCAGUAGCACUUUCCAGCAGGUAGAGUUUGAAAAAGUUAAAACUGAUCCAGCUGGUGUCGAUGUGACAGAUAGUGAUUUUCCAUCGAUCGAAGAUGAUGAAGAGGUUCUGACCCAGGAACCUUUAGAGCAACAAGAUUCAAUUGCAUGUCGAAGGCCACGCAGAGAGAUUCGCAGACCUACUCGCUUUGUUGAUAUGGUGGCAUAUGCAAUUCUAAUUGUAGAUGACGAUGUUCCUUCCACUUACAGAGAAACAGUAAGUAACCCAGAAAGUAUACAAUGGAAGAGAGCAAUGAACGAAGAAAUGCAAUCUCUUUACACAAAUGAAACUUGGGAGUUAGUUAAACUGCCAAAGGAAAAUAAGGCAAUUGGGUGCAAAUGGGUAUAUGCAAAAAAGGAAGGAUUUUCUCGUAAAAAUGAAAUUCGAUACAAGGCUAGAUUGGUAGCGAAAGGUUGUGCUCAGAAUGAAGGAAUAGACUACAAUGAGGUAUUUUCUCUAGUUGUGAAACACUCAUAUAUUCGAAUUUUGCUAGCCAUGAUUGCGCAAUUUGAUCUUGAACUAGUUCAACUUGAUGUAAAAACUGCAUUUUUACACUGUGAUUUGGUAGAGGAAAUCUACAUGAUUCAACCAGAUGGAUUCAAGGUUGCUAGAAAAGAAAUUUGGGUUGCAAAUUGACAAAGUCGCUUUAUAGAUUGAAACAAUCUCUGAGACAGUGGUACAAGCGAUUUGAUCAAUUUAUGAAAGGGCAAUGGUAUACAAGAAAUAAAUUUGAUCAUUGUGUAUAUUUUCGCAAGCUACAAGAAGGAUCUUUCAUUUAUUUGCUAUUGUAUGUCGAUGAUAUGCUAAUAGCAUCCAAGAGUAAAGAUGAGAUUGAGAAGUUAAAGACUCAACUCAAUCAAGAAUUUGAAAUGAAAGAUCUAGGUGAAGUUAAGAAGAUUAUUGGCAUGAAGAUAUACAAAGAUAGAGCUCGUAGCAAAGUAAGCUUGUCUCAGAAGCAAUAUUUGAAGAAGGUACUACAGCAGUUUGGCAUAACUGAGCAGACAAAACCUGUAAGUACCCCAUUGGCUUCUCAUUUCAAGCUUUCUGCACAAUUAUCUCCUUCAACAGAUGAAGAAUGAGAAUACAUGUUACAAGUUCGGUAUUCAAAUGCAAUGGGUAGCUUGAUGUAUGCAAUGGUGUGUACAAUGACUGACAUUUCACAUGCAGUUGGUAUAGUGAGCAGGUAUAUGCAUAAUCCUGGUAAAGGACAUUGGCAAGCUGUGAAAUGGAUUUUACGGUACAUUCAGAAGACCAUGAAUAUUGGUUUACUGUUUGAGAGAGACGAUACAAUUGGUCAAGGUGUGAUCGGGUACGUUGAUUCUGAUUAUAUUGGUGAUUUGGACAAACGAUGGUCAACCACCGGAUAUGUAUUUACUUUGGCUGGAGGGCCAAUCAGUUGGAAGUCUACACUAUAGUCUAUAGUUGCAUUGUCGACAACAGAGGCCGAGUACAUGGCGAUUACAAAGGCUGUUAAAGAGGCUAUUUGGUUACAAGGCUUGCUUGAAAACUUAGGAUUUGCACAAAAGCACAUUAAUGUGUAUUGUGACAGUCAAAGUACUAUUCAUUUAACAAAAACAAGUUUAUCAUGCGCGUACGAAGCACAUCGACGUAUGUUUUCAUUUUGUGCGGGAAAUUGUUGAUGAGGGGAAGAUAGACAGAGACUAGAGGAUGGUUUGUUGAUAGUCGGCUCAGAUUUACUAAAUUUUCGCCAAGGUAGAGAAUUGUUCAAAAGUCAAGUAUGUUUGCAUGAGCCAGCUAGCAUGCAAAUUUCAAGCACAUCAAUUUUGAGCUAACGUGAUCCAAUUGCAUGUGCUAGCAUGAUCUCGCUACCAAAAGUCACACCAAAGUCAUUAAAAUUGAAAAUGGCCAAAGUUUUUUUCAUGCAUUCAUAUUGUAAGCUUUGCCUAUAAAUAGAGGAGUAGAAUGCAUUUGUAACGCAUCCCAAUUUGUGAGAAGUAGAGAGCAAUUGUAAGUGAGCUGUUUGAGAGAAUUUGAGAGAGCUUCCACUUGAGUGUUUAAGUGAAGUUCCAUUUGGGUGUAUUGGGGUUGUGGGUUUUGUGAGUUUUUCCCACUUUUGUAAAUUCCCAUUAUCAGUAAAAUUAUCUUACAGUCUUUGCCCAUGGACGUAGGCUUUAUGUCGAACCACGUAAAUUAUUGUGUCAUAUUUUCUUUGCAUUUAUUUGUCAUAUUUAUAUUUCUCCAAAAGUUACAGUUAUCGUAAUAUUGGUAAUUGCUCAACCUCACACUUCCGCAACAUAAAGCUCUCUUUGACGUUCCCACCUAAGCAUGAUUAAUUUAAUAUAAUUUUAUUCGCUUUAAUUAAUUUAAUAUGUAUAUAUGCAUGUUUUAUUCUUUGCAGAACGUAUUUGCUGUUGGAACAAACACAAGUGCAACAACUAUGGUUUGGUCCAUGACCUACCUAAUGAAUAAUCCUAGAGCAAUGAAAAAAGUUCAAAUGGAAAUCAGAUCAUUGAUUGGGGGCAACAAAGGCUUUGUAAAUGAAGAUGACGUUCAAGAAAUACAUUAUCUUAAAGCAGUAGUGAAGGAGACGAUAAGAAUGCAACCCACAGAGCCGUUACUACUCCCAAGAGAAACAAUUGAGAAGUGUAUAAUAGAAUGGUAUGAAAUACCAGCUAAAACACAUGUUUUUGUAAUUGCGUGGGCGAUAGGACGAGAUCCUGAAACUUGGCAGAAUCCUGAGGAAUUUUAUCCCGCAGGGAUUAGUUGAUAGUUGUAUUGACUUUAAAGAGCAACACUUUGAGUUAAUACCAUUUGGUGCUGGCAGAAGAAUUUGUCCUGAUUUGAAUAUGGAAAUUCAAAUGUGGAUCUUGCACUUGCUAAUCUUUUUUACAAAUUUGAUUGGCAAAUGCCGCCUGGAAUGAAGAGCCAUGACUUAGAUGUUCGGCCUGGACUUGCCAUGCAUAAGAAGAACAUUCUUUCUAUUAAUUUAGUCGUAUGUUAAUGUUUUUUUUUAUAUUGUUAUGCAGUGAAUCAAGAGUCUAGGAAGAAAAAAUUAUGAUUUUGAACUUUCAUAAAGAUUCAAUAGCUCAGUACAUGUUUGUUGGGAGAACAUGUACCUCCCGGUUCGAGCGGAGAUUUCUAAUCUGAGUUGUGGUGCGGACUUAAAAAUGUCUCCCACAGUUGGGGCCCUCCCCAAAAUACCUCGUGGUUAAGACAAAAAAAAAAUAUAAAGCAAAAACCAUAAGGGAACGAGAUUUAAUGAAGGAAUUAGCAAGUGACGAAUAUUCCCAACACAAACAUGGGCAGGAGCUUGUCACUUAGUUAUAGUUCAUUGUCUUCGAUAACGUGAGAAACAUAAAUGCAGGCAUUUGGAGACUGAUUGUUUAUACAAAACAAGACAUGAUUAUACUCUCUCCCUCUUUUGUUAAACAUUUUACAUUGUUUAUUGUGAAAUAUAUAUAUUCCAAUUUAUCAUCAGUAGCUAGGAGAAUACACAUGCAUGUGGAAAUUUUCUAAUCCCAUGCAUGAGAGAGGAUAUAAUUAAUGUGAUCAUAUAUUAAAUAUCUAACAACCUAAUCCUAUACAUUUAGCUAGAUGAGAUUAAUUAGUACCAGAUAUCAUUAGCAUAACAUAAAAAUAAACCAAUAAUAAAAAAGGAAGACAAUAGAAUAAAUAAAAACUCCAAAAGUUAUACAUUACCUAGUUUUUAUGUGUCAUCAUUAAUUGGCGAGGCAUCUGUAUGGAGACCCUGUAUGAAUUUCUACUCCUAAAUUUUUGGGCUAAUAGAAUCUAUUCGGUUUUUUUAAUGUCCUAAAUAAAAAUUUAGGACUUUAAUUAGUUAAUUAGGCCUAAAAGUUUAAUAAUAUAAAUAUUUUGAUAUUUGUUAUUUUUACUAAUUUUUAUAAUUUUAUAAUUUAAAUUUUAUUAUUUAUUUACUAGUAAUUUUAAAAAAUAACAAUAAAAAUUAAAAUUAAAAUUAAAAUGGGGAAAUGGGUAGUGGAUGGGGAUUCCACCUCAUCCCCGUCCCCUCCCCUCAUACCCUCUCCGAAUGGGGAAAAUUCCCGAGGGUACCCGUCCCGUGAGGAUUUUUGUCAUCCCUAAGUAUUUUUAAGCAAACAAACACGUGCUCUCCCCGUGACCUUUAAUGCUCAUAACGCACCAAAACGCUGCCAUUUUAUGUCUGACGAGUUUGAUUCACCAGCAGGCCUCACAGCUCACAACCAUUAUUUGUAGAAUUGGUUUUGGCAAGAGGUACGUGAAGAUGAAGCAACAAGUGAAAGAAGUAGAUUCCAUGCCUUGCUUGAUGAAACUCAAGCCUUGCUUGUAAGCUUCUUUGUUACAGGUUAUUUUCCUUUCAUAGGAAUGUUGCAACGCCCGCAAAAUAACUUCCAAGAAAUCGACAGAGUCUACCAGGAACUCAUAGACAAGUUUCUGGAUCCAAACUGAACAAAAAUAGAACAGCUGCAACAGGAGGAUGUAAUUGAUGUUUUACUUCAAAUACGAAAAGACCGUGGAUUUAAAGUUGAUCUGACUAUGGAUCACAUCAAAGCAGUGCUCAUGGUUGAUAAUUUUAUAAAUAGUUAAUUAUUCUAACUCAUGCUUAGGGGCGGACUCAAAAAUUUUGUGCAGAUACCCACUCUUACGGUGUUGUAGAACAUUUUACAACAUUUAAAGUGCUCUCUGAUGUUCCCAUCUGAGCAUAAUAUUUACUAAGAAAAACAUGUAUAUAUAGUUGACUGAAAUAGAAUUCAAGGAAGACAUUACAUAGUACGAAUUUGAUUUAUUUCGAUGGAGUUUGAUUAAUGAAAGUAUAUGAAAGUGUAAAGAAAGUGGUAAAAAAAUUUGGUUAUGUAAAAGUUAUAUAGGCAACAUAUUAUUGUCAUAUUCCUAUUAAGGUACAUUUGAUUGUGAUGAUUAUGCAAAUAAAAUAGAUCCAUAUAUGUCUUUAAAGAUGGUUUUGACUUAAACUCGCGGAGUGUUGUAUGCUCAAUUUUGAGUUCUAUUAUUAGCCUUGCACCUAUCCUGGAUUAUUUCGAGGGUAGAUAAAAUUAAUUCUAUUAAUGCUAUCAUGUUUUCUUCUUCAAAUGAAUCGAAUAUUUCUGGAUCAUUAAUUCCUUUUAUUUCUUCAUUGUUUGCUUGUAGUUAAUCUAGUUUUAACCACAGAAAUUGUAUAACCAACUUGAUAUUCUUGACUAAAGUCUAAAUGAUCAAUUGCAUCUAGAAAUUUAUUAACAGAUCUUUCCAUUUUUAAGAAAUUGAGUUACUCUUAUCACUUCCUAUCUUGUAACAUCUCUGAAAGUAAACAGGGCCUAACAUGCUUCCAUUUGUGGCUAAAAUAAAAGAAGAGUUCAGAUCACUAACCAGUGUACUAUCUCUUGAAAUUUUAAAAUAGACUCACUAAUUACCUCCAACCAUAGAGAGAUUCAUGGUUGGCACUGCCAUAGCUCCACACAUCAUACAAGAUCACUUCAGUGAUUGUUCCACACAGUCCAACGUAACACACAACAGACUGACCUAAUAGGAUAUGUCUAAGUGAUUUCCUUGCAGUUGUCUCUGGAAGAAUGCUUAGUAAUAGAAAAUCUUCUUCAUUUAGCACAAGUAUUGGCAUGUAAGUUUCCUGGUUAGUUUUCAAAGGAUAUAUAAGAUAUUUGGAAGAUGAUAAUUUCACUCAAAAGAGGUUUAUUUAUUUCAUUAUUGAAAUUGUUUACAGAUGAUGGUUACAGAGAAUACAAAGAUAGGUGAAGGUUAGACAUAUGAUGUAUUUUCCUUCUUACAUGUUUCUAUUUAUCCUCUUAAAGAGAUAAGGUUAUCUCUUUUACAUGACAUAUGUUCAAAUUUCUUAGUGGAUCGUGGAUUCCCUUUUGAUAAGGUGACCCCUAUUUUUUUUAUCAUUAAAGACAGUAGUUGUCUUUUUUUCCUAAUGGCAGACAAUUUUAUCUUGUUGUGGUGAGCUUUAUCUUUUUGGAAUAUUUCUUUUUGAAUUUUUUAUGCUUUUAGGAUAGCAUCUUUUAUCUUUUUCAAUGGGCCCUGUCACAUGUCAAUUAUUAGAUCUUCAUCUAAAGACAUUUCUUCCCCAUAAGAAUCUCCUUUUGAUCCUUCGUAGCAGUAGCCACAUGAUGACUGAUACUUUAGCACCUUGCAUAUCUCGUGGUGCAUCUAGAGACAUGUCUUCUCCGCUAGAAUCUCCUUUUGAUCCUUCGUAGCAGUAGCCACAUGAUGACUGAUGCUUUAGCACCUUGCAUACCUUGUGGUGUGUUAGUAAGCUGGAUUCCACGAGAUUUUCAUAUAUAUAUUUUUUUUCUUUUUAAAUAUGCCAUGUCUGGCUAAAAUACUUUCUUUUCUACUCAUAGAAAAUAUUAUAUGCUCUUUUGUGGCUUCGUGAAGCCAUAUUUUCUCCUUACUUAUCUUCUCAAGAGAUUUAUAGAGGACUUUCAUUCCUAUGGUCCUUUUGCUAGUGAGAGCUUUGGGCUUGAAUAAUUCAGGAUGAUAAUCAUUGUAGACUUGAUGAUUAAACAAUUGUUUCGUCCUUUUUUAUAUUUUAAACCAAAAACUUGGCUCUAAUACCAUUUUUGAGGACAAAUUCAACCCAAAAUCCAAGUAAGGAUGUAUAUGAUUAAUUUUCAAGAUUUUAUGAAAAUUUUGUAAUUAUCCUUUUUCAAAACUCACCGUUUUGUACAAACUUUUGUGCAAUCCUCUGUGAGGAUGUCUUUUUCCAAUCUUGUUUUAUCCUUGCGCCAUCUUUUACUGCUGUCUUUUAGCCCCGGACAUCAUUAUCAUUUUUCAACCGUUUCAACAGGCUGGCCACCACAAACUGUUUUAAUGCAUUUAUCCACAUCCGUUCUUUUUCGGAAGCAAAAUCAAACGUUCAUCAUUUCGUGUUUGUUGCAUACAUUCGCAUGUAACGUAGCAGGGGCCUUUUUGACAUAUCACAACAGUUUUUCCUUUUCCUUUUUCUUAAAUGAAAUACUGUUGUGUUAGAAUUUACGUUCCACGUAAAGUUGACGGUAAAAACUAAAUUCCGAUUUGAGUAUUGAGAUCCCGUUUCGAAAGGUAUGAGAUUCAAUGCUAAUUUUUAAAAUCGAUUUGGAAUUGGUCGGAAUUUGAGACAAAAUUUUGUGUCUAUUAAUGAUUGGGAUGGGAUCGAGACAAUCAACGAAGUCGUUGCUAGCGAUUACAGGCUCAGGCAUAAUACUUUUACAUCCAGCUUUUUCUGAUUUUCUUUUAAGUUACAUUAUACGAAAUACUUGUGACUGCACUGCGCAUGUGUCUUUGAUAGUUCAAUUAAGGCUCCAUAACUGAUGGAAGCCCUUGGAAACUGGUAAUUUGAGUCAUUUGCAGUUGAUGUUCCAGAAGGAAACGCCAAGGUUGAGACAUGUUACUUUCGGAUGCUUUUCCUUUAAGGCCUAUUUUUUUUUUUUUAAUUUAUAGCUUUUAAUAUCAUUUUAAAUUUGUCCGAAAGUAUCUUUUUUACCAAUAAUGUUUGUAAAUCAAGAAAUAGUUAAAAUUCCGCUAGGUGAAAAUACAAGUUUGGAAUUUUAUUUUUGAGUGCAGACGAAUUUUAUUUUUUAAUUGUGGCUGAGUUAGGUAUAGGUAAAUCUAUACUGAAACAGUAAAACUCACUCAUUGCCAUCCGUAAGAUUGCUAUAAGGUUAAAUAAAUAAAAGAAAUUAAAAGAUAAUUCUGUCUGAGGAUACAAAUAAAAUCGGAGCCUUAACAAUCUUCGUUGGAAAAAAAAAAGAAGAAAAAAAGAAAGAAACACUAUACGCAUCCUUUACUCCACUUAAUUUUUCAUUUAAAAGUCUAUUGUAGGUGUAAAUUACGGCACCUCCACCAAUAGGGGUGCGAUCUAAACGUAAUAUACAUUAUAGAGAUUGAUGUCCAUGUGCUCCCACAGUUUUAAGUAAUUUUUUGCUUAUCAAAAAAAAAUUUUUUUUUUUGAAUGAACUAUCCAAGUCCGAUAUAUCCGAGUGGGUAAUUGCACAUUAUCUAUUCCCUGAUGUCACAUAUUUUUGUCUUUCACUGUCCUUAAAUUACAAUGAAAUGGAAUAAUAUUGGCAACAGUAGAAAAUAUAAUAAGUAAAAAAUUUAUAAAAAUAAUGUUUUGUUUUAUAAUGAAAAGUUUAAAUAGAAAUAUGAAAGUAAAAAGUUAAACACAAAAUAAAAUAAAGAAAGAUAAAAGAAUUUUUUAAAAGGAGAAAUAUAUUAUCUUUAAUUAGAAAAUGUUUCAUUUUAAAUAAGAACUAUAAUUUGUCAUUUUAUUAUAUUUGAUUUAGUUUAAUUUGAUUGUAUUUAUUUCUUGGAUUAGGGAAUGAUAAUGAUAUUCAUUCCUUAUUGGUAGUGCUUACUUGCAAAAAAUAUGGAGGAAUAAGAAUAGAUUUUGGGUGGAGUCCAUAAAUUUGAAAAAAAAAGAAUGAGAAUCUCAUUGGCAUGAGUAGAGGUGGGAAUACAAAUUGGGGAAUGAAUUUUUAUCUUUAAAAAAAUAAAAAUUCCUUUUUUAUCUCAUAUUAAUAUUAAAUUAUUAUUAUUAUUGAUGUUAUUAUUUAUACUAAAAAUAUUUAUUAUUUAUUUUUUUAGUGAACAAAUACAUAACUGUAACUAAGGUCAUAUAAGUAUCUUACAACAAUUUAUUACGAUUAUAAGAUAAAAUAGACACAUUAAUUAGAAUAUAAUUUAUUCUAAUUCUGAUUCUUGCAGUUCAAGUAUAAAUUUAUUCUAGUUCUUAUUUUACAUUUUAAUUCCCGUAUAUUUCGAUAUUAGCCUAUUCUAAUUCCUAUCUAUUUUGAUCCCGAAAAAAUAAAUGAUCUAAUUCAAUUAUAAUAGGGGCAUUAGAGGCUAAAUUUAAACUUAAAGAGUAGUUCCGAUAUUAAACCAUAUUUUAAGGACAUCAAUGAAAAUGUAAUCAACAAAAAAAAAAAAGUUACACCAUCAUCGUUUUGUUGGCAACAAUAACGUUGAAGUGGUCUGUCUCCUUGCGAGUUGUGCGACCCCUUCGGUCGCAAGGAGAUGCCAAUCUUUUCAAUUUGUCGAUUUGCUUUCCUAAAGCAAUAAAAUAAAACUCAAAGCCCCACUUCAAAACUUGUGCAAGAAGGAAAUGUAACUGACGUAUGCUGUCUUUCCAUUUCUUGGUGCAUGUAUAUAUAAGUCUGAAUAUCAGCUGAGUCGGCCAACACCUGCAAGCAAUUUUAGUUUUUCGGUAAGUAUUGUUUCCUUAUCCUAUGAAUUUAUCUUCAAAUUUAUUAUAUUUUCACUUCAAUUGUUUCUUAGUUUGGUUUAAUGUAGUGCGAAGUUAAUUUAUCAACAUUCCACCACAUAAGCGGCACUGGAAGGACCCACAGAGGCCAUCUCCAGCUCCACAGAUGCUUGUGCCUAAAUUCAACAGAAGCUUAAACUUGGGAUUGCCCAAGCUUAAUGAAGACAGGAGUGCAAAUAUUGUGCAUGCAAGGCAUGCCGUAUUCAGGUGGUUUGCCGUAGGCUUGGAUGGUGAUAGCGGCUUUCCUACUUCUUUCCAAUCUGAACCGUCCUCAGUGGAGCCUGUUGAGCAUAAAAGAGGAGUAAAGCCGUUAGUUUUAGUGAACAACAAUCUGGCU
rnacentral:lncRNA from 1 species